rfam:Pelodiscus sinensis unplaced genomic scaffold C74106439, whole genome shotgun sequence.
AAGGCUUUAGCUUAAUUAAAGUGUCUGGGUUGCAUUCAGAAGAUAUAGGAUAAGGUCUUAUAAGUCUUA